UAAAUUCUCUGUUCUUUCAAAACAAAAAGUUGUUUUGUUAAAAUAUUAUUAAACGUGUCUUGGAGUAUGAAAUAGAAAAUUGUUUUUAAAAGCAGUUCCUAAAUAGGCAUUAAGAUUUUAUUCCGAUUGCUGCCCAAGUGUGGAAGGCCAUGGCACAUGGAUAUUCCCUUGGUCCGUAUCUUGAUUUUCUUCUAUUAUUGUAUAGAAGAGCAGCAUAUUCCCUGUGUUUCUCUUCCUCUCUUUUGAACUGUGAACUUCAGGUGACAAUUAUAUUAACACGCGCACGCAAAAAGGGAAAAAUGAACUUAAAAAGAAUAGAAAAGAAAAGUUCAAAACCCUCCAAUGGGAGAGCGUGAACGAGAGGCCGACUUCUCUCGGUUGAAGGGUGGGCGGGCAAACGUUCAUGCCAUGAGACCAUUAGAUGAAGUUGCGCUUUGCAUAUUGAUAGGCUGGCUGGUGUUGACAAUUGAGGCUUGCCUGAUGUGUCUCACGACAUUACCUCUUUUCGUGCAUAUAAAGUUUCUACGAGUGGCGAGCCCCUAAUUCGAUAAGACUAUAUGAUGGAAACUUAAGCUGUCAUUGAUUCACGAGAUUAACAUCCAUAUUCUUCACACCCAAUUGCCCAUUUUCCACCGCCCUCAACGCAUGCACAACUGAUGCUUGAAUUGACUGCAUAACUUAAAACUAUAACUAUCUAUUCAUGUAGCGUACGUGAGGCUCAUCUCUUCAAUCAUCCACGUGGUGAAGUGAUGAUCCCAGCCGUCCGAUCUCAAUAACUUCCGGGGAUCUGAUCUGUCUACGGCUUUCCACUAUUCCAUGUGAAAAUGAAACCAGUUAAAAGUUGGUUUCAUCCUCAAGCAUCCUUUCCAUCCUUUUUCUAAUCUUUGUUCUUCCCCUUCCCCAGUCUGACUCGCGAUAAGUACAAAGACCUGUCACUGACACACAGAUGGGGUGUUUCCUCUCAUUUUGUUCUUAUUUUCCCCUUUCUAAAACAAAAAUCAUCAGAACAAAUAUUUUAGAGAUGAUGCUGGUUUCAACCCCAUAAUAAAUAAAUAGAAAACCCAAAAAAAAAAAAAAAAAGGGAAAAAAAGUGCCCUUUUAAAGGGACCAUGGGACAUGGAGAAGGAGGGAGAGAAAUGACAAGGACAAUGGUGUGGGUUACUUGAAAAAGAGAGGGCAAAGCUGGAGGCUGGAUAAGAACAAAGUGGAGAGGCCACCAUGGACGUGGAAGCUUCACCCUUUAAUUAUUGAUUUCUUUUUCUUUUCCUAAUAAUCCUGUUAAAUAGGACCAAAAAUGGAAUUGAUUUGGUUGGCGACAAAACUCCAGCCAACAAUCUACCACUUGGAUAACUUAGAUACAAUGAAUCUAUCCACAUUCAAGCAAUCCGAUUCAGUUUUUAACAAAACGAUUAGGUUAUCAACUUUGAAUGGUGCCUCACCAUUUUGAGGAUGUUUUGAAAACGAAAAUUCCAAAAAAAAAAAAACAGACCAAAAACAAAAACAAAUGAAAUUUCCUUUUCAGUGAAAUCUGAGCUGAAGAUUAGCAUCUCCAGGGUGGUCUUUAGCUAGUGGAUAGAAACGGCGUGGGGAUUUGAUGGGGGAGCGUGCACAUGUUGGACGGCACGUGUUUAGACAGAUAAAAUGAAUGGAAGCCUGAACUAUUAUUCCUCCUUGUCUUCGAGAUCGAUUAAUUUACACGCACCUCACUCACUCUUGUGCUGCUUCCUUUUAAUUUUUUUAAUUAUAAAUAUUUAAAAUAAGUUUAAAAGUAAUUUUAAAAAAUAUUUUUAGUAUUUUUAAUAUUUAAAUAAUAAAAAUUAUCAAAUAUUAAAAUUAUUUUUUAAAAUUACUAUCAAACGAUUUUUUAAUAGUCUUGAGACCCAUGAACCUGUGGUGUCUUUAGAAAUUUUUUUGAAAAUUAAUUAAAGUGUGAAUCUUAUGUACAUGAUUGAAAAAUUAGCAAAUUGAGGGGGCAACUAAUUCGGUUGAAAUGACUUCACCACCAUCUUAAAUCAUUAAUUUUCAUUUUCUUGAUCAACAAGAGACUCCGGGAGCGGCGGGGAUGACUUUCUUGCAAUUAUCGUACGGGAAGCGUACCCUUUUCUAUUUUCCAAUUAUAGAAAUUAGACUUCCUGUAAGGCGCAAUUGCAACGUGGCCUUUUCGAGAGUAAGCCACGUGGACAUUCUGACCGUUAACCGGAGCUUCCGUUUUUGAAAAAGAGAGGCCUUUUUUACUUUACACUACUAUUCUAAGCCUAACCUGCUCACUUGACCAUGGUUAACAUCUUUAACUAAAUACCCUUUCAUGCUUCCAAAUUUACGAAAUGCNNNNNNNNNNNNNNNNNNNNNNNNNNNNNNNNNNNNNNNNNNNNNNNNNNNNNNNNNNNNNNNNNNNNNNNNNNNNNNNNNNNNNNNNNNNNNNNNNNNNAGUAUAUAGCCCGGCUUUGGUUGAAUCUGUGUGAUACGAGCCCUUCUUGCGCUGCUUUUGACAAACACACACACGGAUAUAGCCUGGCUUUGGUUGAAUCUGUGUGAUACAAUCCCUUUCUGGCUCUGCGUUUGUCUCAGAAUAUGUAGUGUAGAGGGAAGGAAUGUGCUAAAACAACUUGAAAAUGAUUUUUAAUCUCAAGCUAAUUUCAGCAUUUUCCCUUUUCUUCUUUCCUAGAUCCAAACGAAAGAAGUUCCCCUUUCUCUCUAGUGAUGAUGGGGGACAUGUUCGGACAUUUCGUUGAAGCCAGACAAGUUUACAAAAUUUCGAUUUCUACUUGAAAAUGAUUAAAUGAGCUAAUUUUAGCAUUUUCCUUUUUCUUCUUUCCUAGAUCGAAAUGAAAGAAGUUCCCCUUUCUCUCUAGUGAUUAUGGAACAUGUUUGGACAUUUCGUUGAAGCCAUAGACCAUUUUAGAGAAUUUCGAUUUCCUUAGACUUAGAAAGUCCUAGCCUUCAGUGGUGGUACAAGUAAUUGCUGAUUUAGGAGUUUCCAGUAACCUCUCUAUGGACAUCUUUUUAGUGUUGGGACUGAAAAGGGAAAGAUCUUUAUCAUUAGGGAGUAUUUAGAUCCAACAAUAUGAGGCACAGGGAUUUUUGGGUUCCCUUGCAUUCUAGGGAAGUUCACUAGGAACCACUACUUCAUUCACAUUGAACCUCUUAGUAAAAGCUGUAUGGAGUUUUUGAAAAUAUCAGGAUUUCUUUGGAACGUUUUCACAGACAAAUUGUAUCAUUGUAUGAAAGAGCAGCAUAUACUAAAUUCUCUGUUCUUUCAAAACAAAAAGUUGUUUUGUUAAAAUAUUAUUAAAUGUGUCUAGGAGUAUGAAAUAGAAAAUUGUUUUUAAAAGCAGUUCCUAAAUAGGCAUUAAGAUUUUAUUCCGAUUGCUGCCCAAGUGUGGAAGGCCAUGGCACAUGGAUAUUCCCUUGGUCCGUAUCUUGAUUUUCUUCUAUUAUUGUAUAGAAGAGCAGCAUAUUCCCUGUGUUUCUCUUCCUCUCUUUUGAACUGUGAACUUCAGGUGACAACUAUAUUAACACGCGCACGCAAAAAGGGUAAAAUGAACUUAAAAAAGAAUAGAAAAGAAAAGUUCAAAACCCUCCAAUGGGAGAGCGUGAACGAGAGGCCGACUUCUCUCGGUUGAAGGGUGGGCGGGCAAACGUUCAAGCCAUGAGACCAUUAGAUGAAGUUGCGCUUUGCAUAUUGAUAGGCUGGUGUUGACAAUUGAGGCUUGCCCGAUGUGUCUCACGACAUUACCUCUUUUCGUGCAUAUAAAGUUUCUACGAGUGGCGAGCCCCUAAUUCGAUAAGACUAUAUGAUGGAAACUUAAGCUGUCAUCGAUUCACGAGAUUAACAUCCAUAUUCUUCAUACCCAAUUGCCCAUUUUCCACCGCCCUCAACGCAUGCACAACUGAUGCUUGAAUUGACUGCACAACUUAAAACUAUAACUAUCUAUUCAUGUAGCGUAUGUGAGGCUCAUCUCUUCAAUCAUCCACGUGGUGAAGUGAUGAUCCCAGCCGUCUGAUCUCAAUAACUUCCGGGGAUCUGAUCUGUCUACGGCUUUCCACUAUUCCAUGUGAAAAUGAAACCAGUUAAAAGUUGGUUUCAUCCUCAAGCAUCCAUUGCAUGACCCCAUAUUUCCAUCCUUUUUCUAAUCUUUGUUCUCUCCCUUCCCCAGUCUGACUCGCGAUAAGUACAAAGACCUGUCACUGACACACAGAUGGGGUGUUUCCUCUCAUUUUGUUCUUAUUUUCCCCUUUCUAAAACAAAAAUCAUCAGAACAAAUAUUUUAGAGAUGAUGCAGGUUUCAACCCCAUAAUAAAUAAAUAGAAAACCCAAAAAAAAAAAAGGGAAAAAAAGUGCCCUUUUAAAGGGACCAUGGGACAUGGAGAAGGAGGGAGAGAAAUGACAAGGACAAUGGUGUGGGUUACUUGAAAAAGAGAGGGCAAAGCUGGAGGCUGGAUAAGAACAAAGUGGAGAGGCCACCAUGGACGUGGAAGCUUCACCCUUUAAUUAUUGAUUUCUUUUUCUUUUCCUAAUAAUCCUGUUAAAUAGGACCAAAAAUGGAAUUGAUUUGGUUGGCGACAAAACUCCAGCCAACAAUCUACCACUUGGAUAACUUAGAUACAA
rnacentral:lncRNA from 1 species